rnacentral:rRNA from 1 species
CCCUUAGAUGUCCUGGGCCGCACGCGCGCUACAAUGACACAUGCAACAAGUUCUAUCCUGGCUCGGAAGAGUUUCGGGUAAUCUUUAUAAUGUGUGUCGUGCUGGGGAUCGAUCUUUGUAAUUAUGGAUCUUGAACGAGGAAUUCCUAGUAAGCACAAGUCAUCAGCUUGUGUUGAUUACGUCCCUGCCCUUUGUACACACCGCCCGUCGCUCCUACCGAUUGAAUGUUCCGGUGAGCUCUUCGGACUGCGCGGUCUGCAGUUUCUGCGUUCCGUGCGGAAAGUUGCGCAAACCUUAACAUUUAGAGGAAGGAGAAGUCGUAACA